AGGGGAAUGGUGUAGUGGUAGCGCGACGCUCUCCAAAAGCGUAGGCCAGGGUUCGAUUCCUUGUUCCCCUG
rnacentral:tRNA from 1 species